CGAGAGGCUUCUACAAUGGGGGAAACCCUGAUAGAGCGACGCCGCGUGGGUGAUGAAGGUCUUCGGAUCGUAAAACCCUUUCAGCAGGGAAGAAGGGAUACGGCGCUAAUAUCGCCGCGUCCAGGACGGUACCUGCAGAAGAAGCUCCGGCUAACUCCGUGCCAGCAGCCGCGGUAAGACGGAGGGAGCAAGCGUUGUUCGGAUUUACUGGGCGUAAAGGGCGUCUAGGCGGGCCAGCCAGUCAGGUGUGAAACCCCCCGGCUCAACCGGGGAUCUGCACUUGAUACUGCUGGUCUUGAGUACGGAAGAGGAAGGCGGAAUUCCUGGUGUAGCGGUGAAAUGCGUAGAUAUCAGGAAGAACACCGGUGGCGAAGGCGGCCUUCUGGUUCGAUACUGACGCUAAAGCGCGAAAGUGUGGGGAGCAAAC
rnacentral:rRNA from 1 species